rfam:Pristionchus pacificus strain PS312 contig134, whole genome shotgun sequence.
UCUUCAUUUCACACACUCUCUCACCGGUCAGAGAGGCGAGAGAGUGUGCAAAAUGCAGAGA